AGCUUUGUGCAGUGGCAGUAUCAUAGCCAAUGAGGUUUAUCUGAGGCAUGAGGCACGAUUAUUGCUAAUUGAAACAAUACCUAAGUAGAGAUGACUCAACAUGGGCCUCAGUCAUUUAAGAAGGCACUCCUAGGCG